UUAAGGGUUUGGUUUUGGAUCUUGUCAGGUUUGUCCCUGCAACAGAUCAUGUCAUAUGGAUACAAGUAUUGUUUUCUGUAUCUAUUGAUUUAAAUAUCUUUUAUUCUUUGUUUCCUAAAGGUCCUGGAUUGGAAUUCCAGUCGUUGCCCCAGUGUUUCCUUCUCUUCUACCGGGUUAUUUUUCUGGACUAAUUACUCUGUAGACAUAUGACAGACCUAAGUGGAGAUGUAUUUCAUGUUGCAUGUGCAUGAGCUCCCUGGAACACAACACGCAAUGAUAAAAGACUUACUGGCCCUCUUGAAACACCUGAAUGACAGACUGGCACGGUUCCUUAGAAAUGUGGACUCCUGUAUUGAGGAUCAUGAUUUUGCUAAAUUUAGAAUGUAGCUGAAUUUGAGAGCGUUUCAGAUCAGUCCCCCUGACCCUGUGGCUGUGCACAUGACUUCUGUUCUAUCUCCAAAUCUAAUACUUUCCAACUUUGAAUGGAUCAUAUGCAGCAGGAAGACUGCCAGCAGAGCCCACCAACCAAAAGGCACCUGUGUCCACUUCAGAAAGACAUGGAGUCUUGCCUAUAAUAUUCCUGCAAUUCUAGUCCCUGGGGACACUACCUGCCCUGUUAGAAGCCUCAUCUCACUGCUAGGAGGUGCAUUGCUCUUUAUGUCACUUGUUGGAUGACGAUAUAUGUAUGGACCACAUAUGUCUACAUGUACUUCCUGCAACAUAAUAUAAUAAUUGUACAAUAUUCAAUAGGCUUGUACAAACAAAAAUAAGUCCAUAGGAUCUAGAAUCAGAGUUGGGGGGGAAUAAGUUUAGGAAAUUCUGAAGCAAAUUAACAGAGUUCAAGGUGGACCUCUAACAUAUAAAUCAGAAAGAAUUCACCACACCGUUUUUAGUAUAAAAACAUAUGGGAGGAAAGAGUUAAGAUGUCAGAAGAUUGGGGGACUCAGGACUUGUCACAUCCCUGGAACAGAUGGAUGGUUAUUGAAUCAUUUCGAACAUCGAAGAAAUUGAUCAGAGAUGAAAGAAUAAAAACAGAAAGACUGGUAAAAGAAUACUGAGCAUCUCUCUCUCUCGGUCUGUGUGUGUGUUUCUCAUGAAUAAGCAAAUAGAAUCUUAUAAAAGGAUACUGAGCAGGAUUUGGAGUGUUGGAACUGUGAGGUGUUGACUUAAGGGAGAGUCAACCAUGGGGAUGACAGUAGGAGGGAGGUUGCUUGCAGAAGCUACUGUCAAGGUUUUUAAGGACAAGAGAGGAAUGUGUGAAUCUUUAGAAUUCUGGUCCUGCACGU